UACGUAGGGGGCUAGCGUUGUCCGGAUUUAUUGGGCGUAAAGAGCGUGUAGGCGGCCAGGUAGGUCUGCUGUGAAAACUCGAGGCUCAACCUCGAGACGUCGGCGGAAACCAUCUGGCUAGAGUCCGGAAGAGGAGAGUGGAAUUCCUGGUGUAGCGGUGAAAUGCGCAGAUAUCAGGAAGAACACCAAUGGCGAAGGCAGCUCUCUGGGACGGUACUGACACUGAGACGCGAAAGCGUGGGGAGCGAUCCGG
rnacentral:rRNA from 1 species